rnacentral:rRNA from 1 species
UACGUAGGGUGCAAGCGUUGUUCGGAAUUACUGGGCGUAAAGGGAGCGUAGGUGGAUUUGUAAGUUAGGAGUUUAAUUCAUGGGCUUAACCCAUGUCCGGCUCUUAAUACUGCGAAUCUUGAGUAUUGGAGAGGGUGAUGGAAUUUCACGUGUAGCGGUGGAAUGCGUAGAUAUGUGAAAGAACACCAGUAGCGAAGGCGGUCACCUGGCCAAAUACUGACACUGAGGCUCGAAAGCUAGGGGAGCAAAC